rnacentral:rRNA from 1 species
GGGCAAACCGAAGAGUUUACUCUUCGGGGUUGUAGGACUGCAAUGUGGACUCAAAGAUUAUAGAAGAAUGAUUUGGGAAGAUCAGCCAAAGAGAGUAAUAGCCUCGUAUUUAAAAUAGUCUUUGUACUUAGCAGUAUCCUGAGUACGGCGGGACACGUGAAAUCCCGUCGGAAUCUGGGAGGACCAUCUCCCAACCCUAAAUACUCCCUAGUGACCGAUAGUGAACCAGUACCGUGAGGGAAAGGUGAAAAGCACCCCGGGAGGGGAGUGAAAUAGAACCUGAAACCGUGUGCCUACAACAAGUUCGAGCCCGUUAAUGGGUGAGAGCGUGCCUUUUGUAGAAUGAACCGGCGAGUUACGUUAUGAUGCGAGGUUAAGUUGAAGAGACGGAGCCGUAGGGAAACCGAGUCUGAAUAGGGCGCCUUAGUAUCAUGACGUAGACCCGAAACCAUGUGACCUACCCAUGAGCAGGUUGAAGGUGCGGUAAGACGCACUGGAGGACCGAACCAGGGCACGUUGAAAAGUGCUUGGAUGACUUGUGGGUAGCGGAGAAAUUCCAAACGAACUUGGAGAUAGCUGGUUCUCUCCGAAAUAGCUUUAGGGCUAGCGUCGACAUUAGAGAUUCUUGGAGGUAGAGCACUGUUUGGGUGAGGGGUCCAUCCCGGAUUACCAAUCUCAGAUAAACUCCGAAUGCCAAUGAAUUAUGGUCGGCAGUCAGACUGCGAGUGCUAAGAUCCGUAGUCGAAAGGGAAACAGCCCAGACCACCAGCUAAGGUCCCAAAAUAAUUGUUAAGUGGAAAAGGAUGUGGGGUUGCACAGACAACUAGGAUGUUAGCUUAGAAGCAGCUAUUCAUUCAAAGAGUGCGUAAUAGCUCACUAGUCGAGUGACCCUGCGCCGAAAAUGUACCGGGGCUAAAACAAUUUACCGAAGCUGUGGAUACCUUUAUAGGUAUGGUAGGAGAGCGUUCUAUGUGUGAUGAAGGUAUACCGUGAGGAGUGCUGGAACGCAUAGAAGUGAGAAUGCCGGUAUGAGUAGCGAAAGACAGGUGAGAAUCCUGUCCACCGUAAGACUAAGGUUUCCAGGGGAAGGCUCGUCCGCCCUGGGUUAGUCGGGACCUAAGGAGAGACCGAAAGGUGUAUCCGAUGGACAACAGGUUGAUAUUCCUGUACUAGAGUAUGUAGUGAUGGAGGGACGCAGUAGGCUAACUAAAGCAGACGAUUGGAAGAGUCUGUCUAAGCAGUGAGGUGUGAAUUGAGUCAAAUGCUUAAUUCUAUAACAUUGAGCUGUGAUGGGGAGCGAAGUUUAGUAGCGAAGUUAGUGACGUCACACUGCCAAGAAAAGCUUCUAGCGUUUAACCAUACUCUACCCGUACCGCAAACCGACACAGGUAGUCGAGGCGAGUAGCCUCAGGUGAGCGAGAGAACUCUCGUUAAGGAACUCGGCAAAAUGACCCCGUAACUUCGGGAGAAGGGGUGCUGACUUUAAGUCAGCCGCAGUGAAUAGGCCCAAGCAACUGUUUAUCAAAAACACAGCUCUCUGCUAAAUCGUAAGAUGAUGUAUAGGGGGUGACGCCUGCCCGGUGCUGGAAGGUUAAGAGGAGUGCUUAGCGUAAGCGAAGGUAUGAAUUGAAGCCCCAGUAAACGGCGGCCGUAACUAUAACGGUCCUAAGGUAGCGAAAUUCCUUGUCGGGUAAGUUCCGACCCGCACGAAAGGCGUAAUGAUUUGGGCACUGUCUCAACGAGAGACUCGGUGAAAUUUUAGUACCUGUGAAGAUGCAGGUUACCCGCGACAGGACGGAAAGACCCCAUGGAGCUUUACUGCAGUUUGAUAUUGAGUGUCUGUACCACAUGUACAGGAUAGGUAGGAGUCUAAGAGAUCGGGACGCCAGUUUCGAAGGAGACGCUGUUGGGAUACUACCCUUGUGUUAUGGCCACUCUAACCCAGAUAGGUGAUCCCUAUCGGAGACAGUGUCUGACGGGCAGUUUGACUGGGGCGGUCGCCUCCUAAAAGGUAACGGAGGCGCCCAAAGG